AAAAGCAAUUGAGAGUUUUACC
rnacentral:miRNA from 1 species